AACUUCGGGAGAAGGGGUGCUCUAUUAGGGUGCAAGCCCGAGAGAGCCGCAGUGAAUAGGCCCAGGCGACUGUUUAGCAAAAACACAGGUCUCUGCAAAACCGUAAGGUGACGUAUAGGGGCUGACGCCUGCCCGGUGCUGGAAGGUUAAGAGGAGUGCUUAGCUUCGGCGAAGGUACGAAUUGAAGCCCCAGUAAACGGCGGCCGUAACUAUAACG
rnacentral:rRNA from 1 species